rnacentral:rRNA from 1 species
UACGGAGGGUGCAAGCGUUGUUCGGAUUUAUUGGGCGUAAAGCGCGCGCAGGCGGAUUGGAAAGUCAGAUGUGAAAUCCCGGGGCUCAACCUCGGAACUGCGUCUGAAACUAUCAGUCUAGAAUCUUGGAGAGGGUUGGGGAAUUUCACGUGUAGGGGUAAAAUCCGUAGAGAUGUGAAGGAACACCAGUGGCGAAGGCGCCGACCUGGACAAGUAUUGACGCUGAGGCGCGAAAGCGUGGGGAGCAAACAGG